rnacentral:rRNA from 1 species
CCCUUAGAUGUUCUGGGCCGCACGCGUGCUACACUGAGUGGAUCAGCGGGUCAGGUUGCGCGAAAGUGUUUCCUAAUCUUUAAAUCCGCUCGUGAUGGGGAUUGACGGUUGCAAUUUUCCGUCAUGAACGAGGAAUACCUUGUAAGCGCGGGUCAUCAUCCCGCGCUGAAUACGUCCCUGCCCUUUGUACACACCGCCCGUCGCUCCUACCGAUUGAGUGGUCCGGUGAGGCUUUGGGAUCUGAGCGGAAAGAGCGUUUCGCUGUUUCUGCCCGGAAAGCUCAGUCGAACCUUAUCAUUUAGAGGAAGGGGAAGUCGUAACA